AUUGAACGCUGGCGGCAUGCCUUACACAUGCAAGUCGAACGGUAACAGGUCUUCGGAUGCUGACGAGUGGCGAACAGGUGAGUAAUACAUCGGAACGUGCCCGAUCGUGGGGGAUAACGAAGCGAAAGCUUUGCUAAUACCGCAUACGAUCUACGGAUGAAAGCAGGGGACCGCAAGGCCUUGCGCGAACGGAGCGGCCGAUGGCAGAUUAGGUAGUUGGUGGGAUAAAAGCUUACCAAGCCGACGAUCUGUAGCUGGUCUGAGAGGACGACCAGCCACACUGGAACUGAGACAUGGCCCAGACUCCUACGGGAGGCAGCAGUGGGGAAUUUUGGACAAUGGGCGAAAGCCUGAUCCAGCCAUGCCGCGUGCAGGAUGAAGGCCUUCGGGUUGUAAACUGCUUUUGUACGGAACGAAAAGACUCUGGUUAAUACCUGGGGUCCAUGACGGUACCGUAAGAAUAAGCACCGGCUAACUACGUGCCAGCAGCCGCAGUAACAC
rnacentral:rRNA from 1 species